GAUGAACGCUAGCUACAGGCUUAACACAUGCAAGUCGAGGGGAAACGAUAGAGAAAGCUUGCUUUUUCUAGGCGUCGACCGGCGCACGGGUGAGUAACGCGUAUCCAACCUGCCCAUCACUUGGGGAUAACCUUGCGAAAGUAAGACUAAUACCCAAUGACGUCUCUAGAAGACAUCUGAAGGAGAUUAAAGAUUUAUCGGUGAUGGAUGGGGAUGCGUCUGAUUAGCUUGUUGGCGGGGUAACGGCCCACCAAGGCGACGAUCAGUAGGGGUUCUGAGAGGAAGGUCCCCCACAUUGGAACUGAGACACGGUCCAAACUCCUACGGGAGGCAGCAGUGAGGAAUAUUGGUCAAUGGACGAGAGUCUGAACCAGCCAAGUAGCGUGCAGGAUGACGGCCCUAUGGGUUGUAAACUGCUUUUAUAAGGGGAUAAAGUGAGCCACGUGUGGCUUUUUGCAUGUACCUUAUGAAUAAGGACCGGCUAAUUCCGUGCCAGCAGCCGCCGCCG
rnacentral:rRNA from 1 species